AGGCCACCAUCCAUGGUGGAACCGAAGCCACCCAAGAUGCCACCUUCACCCCCCGCCUCCUUGUCACCCGUGGGGCCACCUUCACCCCUGGUGGAGGAGGAAGAGGAGGAGGAGGAGGAGGAGGAGGUGUCCUUGUCCCCACCGGGUGGCCCCGACCUGGCCUUGGAGGAGCUGGACGUCACCGAGUUGGCCUUGGCCGCCGGGCUCUUGGGGACGUCAGGGGGGACGAGGAGGGGGGGGGACAGCAGCGAGGAGGAGGAGGAGGAAGAUGAAGAAGAUGAUGGUGGUGAUGGUGGCCACCACCCUGCUCCUCGAGGCGGCCCCUACUACCGCUACCCCCGCACGGUGGUGACACGGGGACAACCUUGUCCCCUCCCCCUGCCGCCCCACAUCCACCAGUUGGACGGGGUGGACGACGGGGGGGACAAGGGGCCACCACCCCCACCCUUGGGGCCACCACCACCAUCUUUGGGGCCACCACCACCACCUUUGGGGCCACCACCAUCUUUAGGGCCACCAGCACCAUCUUUGGGGCCACCACCCCCACCCUUGGGGCCACCACCACCAUCUUUGGGGCCACCACCACCACCUUUGGGGCCACCAGCACCACCUUUGGGGCCACCACCAUCUUUGGGGCCACCACCACCAUCUUUGGUUCCACCACCAUCUUUGGGGCCACCAGCACCACCUUUGGGGCCACCACCCCCACCCAUGGGGCCACCACCCCCCGGCGAGGACCUUCCCUCUGACAUCGUGGACUUUGUCCUGAAGAACACGGCGGGGGGUGGUGGCACCAAGGGGACAACGGGGGGGGACGUCAACAGAGGAGGUGGCACCUCGUGGGGCACCCCCCAGGAGGUGGGAGGAGGUGGUGGUGGCACCCAUAGGGACGUGGUGGGUGGCCUCUGUGGGCGUCACCGAGGAGAUGGCAACCACGGGGACCUCUUUGGUGGCCAUGGUGGCCCUGGAGAUGGCACCUGUGGAGAUGGCACCCAUGGAGAUGGCACCCACAGACACGUCCUUGGUGGCCUUGGAGACGUCACCCAUGGAGAUGGCACCCAUGGAGAUGGCACCCAUGGACACCUUCUUGAUGGCCACAGUGGCCCUGGAGGUGGCACCCAUGGAGGUGGCACCCAUGGGCACCUUCUCGGUGGCCUUGGUGGUGCCACCCACAGACACCUCUUGGGUGGCCACAGCACCCACGGAAACGCCACCCACAGUCACCUCGUCCCCCGCGGAGAUGCCACCACCAACGGCCACCUCCCCCACCUCAACGGCACCCACUGGGUGUCACCCUGGGGACCCCCCGGGGCACCCAAACGUCCCGGGGACCCCCUGGGCCCUGGGGGCAAACGGGCGCGGCUGGAGGACAACGGCGAGGACAAGGGGGACGGCGGGUAAGGACCACGCCCCAGGGCACCCAUGGGUGACACCGGGUGGGGCCACCACCAUGGGACCACCCCCAGCCCAGUUGGGUCCAUCCCAGUUGGGUCCAUCCCAGUUUGAUGGGUCCAUCCCAGUUGGACCAUCCCAGUUGGACCAUCCCAGUUGGGUCCAUCCCAGUUUGAUGGGACCAUCCCAGUUGGACCAUCCCAGUUUGAUGGGACCAUCCCAGUUGGGUCCAUGGGUGUCCACCACGGUGGGUCCAUCCCAGUUGGGUCCAUCCCAGUUUGAUGGGACCAUCCCAGUUGGGACCAUCCCAGUUGGGUCCAUCCCAGUUGGACCAUCC
rnacentral:lncRNA from 1 species